GCCUGGGUGGCUCAGUCGGUUAAGCGUCCGACUUCAGCUCAGGUCACGGUCUCACAGUCCGUGGGUUCGAGCCCCGCGUCGGGCU
rnacentral:tRNA from 1 species